rnacentral:rRNA from 1 species
CUCCGGUUGAUCCCGCCGGACCCGACUGCUAUCGGAUUGAGAUUUAGCCAUGCGAGUCGAACGUCCCCCUGUUGCGGGGGGCGUGGCGUACGGCUCAGUAACACGUAGUCAACCUGCCCUGGAGAUAAGGACAACCCCGGGAAACUGGGAUUAAUCCUUGAUAGGUCAUCUCAUCUGGAAGGAGAGAUGGCUUAAAGGGGUACGCGGGCUUCUUCCGCGAAUUCGCUCCAGGAUGGGACUGCGUCCGAUCAGGCUGUUGGCGGGGUAAUGGCCCACCAAACCUGUAACCGGUACGGGCCUUGAGAGAGGUGGCCCGGAGAUGGACACUGAGAGAAGGGUCCAGGUCCUACGGGGCGCAGCAGGCGCGAAACCUUCGCAAUGCGCGAAAGCGUGACGAGGUUAAUCCGAGUGACUCCCGCUUAGGGGGUCUUUUGUCAGCUGUAAAUAGGCAGGCGAAUAAGGGGAGGGCAAGCCUGGUGUCAGCCGCCGCGGUAAUACCAGCUCCUCGAGUGGUCGGGGCGAUUAUUGGGCCUAAAGCAUCCGUAGCCGGUUCCGUAGGUCCUCUGUUAAAUCCAACCGCUUAACGGUUGACCUGCAGAGGAUACCGCGGGACUAGGAGGCGGGAGAGGCGGACGGUACUCCGCGUGUAGGGGUAAAAUCCUUUGAUCCGCGGAAGACCACCAGUGGCGAAGGCGGUCCGCCAGAACGCGCUCGACGGUGAGGGAUGAAAGCUGGGGGAGCGAACCGGAUUAGAUACCCGGGUAGUCCCAGCCGUAAACGAUGCGAGCUAGAUGAUUCAUUCGCAAGUCGCGAAUGAAGUGUCGCAGGGAAGCCGUUAAGCUAGCCGCCUGGGGAGUACGGUCGCAAGACUGAAACUUAAAGGAAUUGGCGGGGGAGCA